AUCUUGCACAAGUCUGGCUUAUUGUCCGGAUCGCGACCUCCUUUUGUUACACACAGGUCCUGGGCUUUAAGCAUGAAUCCAAACACAAUCGCUCCACGGUAUAUUUGGGCGUUUUGGACAAAUUAAUGGAAGGAUCGAGGUCAGUGAUAUGUCCGUGUCUCUGGACGAUUUCUCGGAGCGCGUCAUCACCCCCGCCAUGCCCCCGCGGCUGGCCAGCGCCUGCUGCAUCAGCAACUUCAUCAUCCCGGGCUCCGGGACCUUGGUGUCUGGUUUCGCGGUGUUCUGCUGUUCUAAGAACUCUGACAUGGACACUGGAGACAAAGUGACCACGUGUGCGUGCAGCCUGGCGAUCGGGCUCCUACAGCUGGCACUCAGCGCCUUUAUUCUGGUGGGGUGGUGCUGGAGCUGUGUGUGGGGCCUCCACUACGUGCAGAUGUCCAGUAUGUAGACUCUAGCUACGUAUUUUGUCAUGUUAACGUCAUCUAUCAAAACUUGUGUAUGUUUACCGCCCGAGGAUAUGUAUGUACUAGUAUAUUUGGCUUAAUUUUGACAGAGAAACACUAUCCUGAGGGUUGGGGACUCGACCAGCCGACUAAUGUCAGGACGUCCCAGCCAACACGGGGCGAUGUGACGUCAUUUCUGUCCGCCGUCCACCGACAGGGUCACCCCCAGCCAGUGCUUCCACCACCGUACUCCCACUGUGUAGAUCCGCCCCCGCCCUACGAGUCCAUUUAUCAACAGUCCAGGGCCGACUCAUAUCCUGGGUCCUGACCAGUAAAGUUUCAUCGUUUGAUGACAUUGUGUAUAACCUCGCAUGACAGUGGCUCUUUAGUUUCGCCACUCGUCAGAAUAAAGUGACGACAACUCCUCCUAGUUCUGAUACAAAAAAGAUUCAGAGAUCGAAAUGAAAUAUUUUAAGUUGCUUAGUGUUGUUUAGGAAUCAGGAAUGUUCAGUAGAGUCUAACUAACCCUCAUGAGUUAUGAAGUAUGAAGAUAAUUGGUUAAAACGACAGAUACGGUUGUUGAGAAAUAUAAAACUGAGCUGUCGGUCGCUAUCUAUAAUAUGUACUGGAAAAUGCAGAUUUAUUGUUCCACAACUGGACAUAUUUGUCAGGAAAAUGAAAUUUGUGAUGAAUUCCUUUAUGAUUUCUUCACCUGUAAAAUGGCUGACAGAUUGUGUAGCUGUAUCUACCGUAUACUGUGUGCAAUCAAACUUGAUCUGCAUUGUUCUACCUGUAUAUUCUCAGGUAUAACUUUGUAUCACCUUUAUAAUUUUACAGUUAUAAUUCAACAAUGUACGUGUAUCAUUACAUAUAUCGUUACAAGAUAUUAAACUUUGUAUUUAUUGG
rnacentral:misc_RNA from 1 species